UUCUUUAUGAUAUAUUUUAUAUAAAGUAUAACCUGCUCAAUGAUUAUUUAAAUAGCCGCGAUUAUAUCGUGCGAAGGUAGCAUAAUAAUUUGACUUUUAAUUAAGGUCUUGAAUGAAGGGUUGAACGAAAUAUAAACUUUUUUAAUUAAUUAUUUAUGAAUAUUUAUUUUUUAGUAAAAAAGCUAAAAUAAAUUUAUGGGACGAUAAGACCCUAUAGAAUUUUAUUUUUUCACCAAAAUUUAAUAAAGGUAUUAUUUGUUAUUAAUUUUGAUGUUAAAAUUUUGUUGGGGCGACAGAUACAUUUAUUUAACUGUAUUUUGAUUUAUAUCAUAAAUAUAUGAUUGUUAUGAUCCUUAAUUUAAGAUUACAAGAUUAAAUUACCUUAGGGAUAACAGCGUUAUUUCACUGGAGAGUUCAUAUUUAUAGUGAAGUUUGCGA
rnacentral:rRNA from 1 species